AAAGUCGUAACAAGGUCUCCGUUGGUGAACCAGCGGAGGGAUCAUUACAGAGUUGCAAAACUCCCACAACCAUCGCGAACGUUACCCACAACUCUAUUAUCUCAUGGUCUCUUCUGAGUACAGCACAUAAUAAGUUAAAACUUUCAACAACGGAUCUCUUGGUUCUG
rnacentral:misc_RNA from 1 species